ACUCUUUGUCUUUUUAAGAUAUACUCAAAUUCAUUUAAUUUAUCGCCAUCAAGGGAGGUUACAAGCGAAGAAGAUACCAUACAUUUGAAGCAUAUACAAAUUAGUAAAUUUGCUGCUACACCAUAACUAUCGGAGCUGAUUGAAAGAACGAAAAUAUCGAAAGGAAAGUCCUCGAAAAGAACAGUAAAAGUAAAGUAUAUCUGUUUGAGAUGUUGUGACCUGUUGGUGGUUGUUGUUAGAAUGAGCGUCCUG